CCUACGGGGCGCUGCAGUGGGGAAUAUUGCACAAUGGGGGGAACCCUGAUGCAGCAACGCCGCGUGGGUGAAGAAGUACUCCGGUAUGUAAAGCCCUGUCAGCAGGGAAGAAAAUGACGGUACCUGACCAAGAAGCCCCGGCUAACUACGUGCCAGCAGCCGCGGUAAUACGUAGGGGGCAAGCGUUAUCCGGAUUUACUGGGUGUAAAGGGUGCGUAGGCGGAAUGCCAAGUCAGCGGUAAAAUCGCGGGGCUCAACCUCGCUCCGCCGUUGAAACUGGCGUUCUUGAGUGGGCGAGAAGUAUGCGGAAUGCGUGGUGUAGCGGUGAAAUGCAUAGAUAUCACGCAGAACUCCGAUUGCGAAGGCAGCAUACCGGCGCCCAACUGACGCUGAAGCACGAAAGCGUGGGUAUCGAACAGGAUUAGAUACCCGUGUAGUC
rnacentral:rRNA from 1 species